AAGAGAUCGGAGGGCACAUCGUCAUGUGAAGGAGAGACACUGCUUCCCAGGAUAGAGUCCCCUGUCCUCAUACUCAAACUCAAAUGAUUCUGUGUACCUGCUCCGCCCACUGAAAAAUCUCCUGAGCUCAUGCCUGAAAUCAGAUAAUUCUG